UCAGAUUCUGAAGCUAAAUUCUUCUGACAUCAAUCAAUGCUUAGGCCUUCUUGAUCGAGAUCUGAAAAGCCUGGAAUAGAUCGACACUGAAAAAGCUAAGAAGAUUAUGCAGUACAAAAAAAACCCUAGUCUGAAGGACAUGAAGAAAAAGGAGUUUCCUAAAGAAUUCAAGUUCCUUGCUGAAAGAGUGGGUAAAUGUAUCUUAUGCAAAGACACUGCACAUGAUAUUGUGAUUGACCAACAACUAAAGAUCAUGUCUGCUAUAGUCUUGAAGGAACACAUCAACUUUGGAGCUAUCCUAUUUGAUCAAAUGUCUAAA
rnacentral:lncRNA from 1 species